rnacentral:lncRNA from 1 species
GGACUUUAUUGCAUUGUCUGUGGAGCUGAAAUACUGCCCAAAGCAGAGGGAAUUUUGAGAAAAGCUUGCUACAGUAAUAGUGAAGUGCAGACAAUCUGGAAACUCUUCAGAAAUCCCAGUGUAAGAAGUAAAGGAUCCAUUAGGAGUUGUAUGUGUAAGGUAGAUGCCACUGCAGAAGAUGAUAAUGUGAUGUUGGUCAUCUCAGAUGCUGCAAGUCUGAGUUGUCUGAAGGAAACUUUGAAGGUUUAUCAGAUGCCAGUGAAAAGUGAAGACUUGCAUGGCAGUUUAUCUUUAAAUGCUCUUUGGGAUGAGAAGGAAUGUUCUCUGACAAGUUACUUACAAUGCAGGAGCUGUGUCACUCAGGCCAGUUCUCCAUGUCCUUUGGUAGGAGCUGAGGUUACUCAUUUCAGUAAUAAAGUGCAGUCAUGGGUCUGGCUGCUCCCAUCAGCUGUUCAUUUUUGCUGGCUGCUGCAGAACCCUCAAGGACUGAAAACAGGCAAUUCAGAUUAUACUUUAUCUUAAAAGGCCACGUAUUCAUCAGGACUAAUAAGACAGAUAAGUACUUUGUUAUUUAAUGCCAACUCCCACAAAGCUGUUGUUCAGCACAAGUGGAGAGGCAGCACAAUAUCUGGGUGUGAAUGAUGGGAAGGAGUUACCUGGGUACAAAUUCUGGCCCCAUUGAACUCAGUGGGGGUUCUGCCAUUUGACUUCAACAAAGCAAAGGCUUCACCACAUGUUUGAAAGAAAUAUUUCACUGGGAUUACGGUCUGAAUGCUGGUAAAUGUGUUGUAUUUAAAUCUGCCUUUUGACAUUUGAAUGUUUGUUUACCUUGCAGGCACUUCAAAGUGAUUUGAUAUAAAAACUUUGCAUCAAUUCCAUUUUAUUCUGAGUUUGAAUUGCUUUAUUUUUUUUUGAUUUCUUGUGCAUUUAGAGGCCUGGGCUGGAAACAUGGUAGGGGAGCGUUGGCAUAUUUUGUAUUGCUGUGAUUUAAAUUGAAUUAAAGAAAAACAG